ACGCUGGCGGCGUGCCUAACACAUGCAAGUCGAACGGAGUUAAUGAUUUCCGGUUGUUAACUUAGUGGCGAACGGGUGAGUAACGCGUGAACAACCUGACCCAAAGAGGGGGAUAACAUUUGGAAACAGAUGCUAAUACCGCAUAAGACCACAACGUCACAUGGCGAAGGGGGUCAAAGGAGCAAUCCGCUUUGGGAGGGGUUCGCGUCCCAUUAGGUAGUAGGCGGGGUAACAGCCCACCUAGCCAACGAUGGGUAGCCGAGCUGAGAGGCUGAUCGGCCACACUGGAACUGAGACACGGUCCAGACUCCUACGGGAGGCAGCAGUGGGGAAUAUUGGGCAAUGGGCGCAAGCCUCGACCCAGCAACGCCGCGUGAGGGAAGAAGGUUUUCGGAUUGGUAAACCUCUGUCGCAGAAGACGAAGGAAGUGACGGUAUUCUGUGAGGAAGCCCCGGCUAACUACGUGCCAGCCGCGGC
rnacentral:rRNA from 1 species